rnacentral:Y_RNA from 1 species
GGUUGGUAGUCUGAGUGCAGUGGUAUUUACAACUAAUUGAUCACAACCAGUUAUUGAUUCCUUUGUCCUUCUCCACUCCCACUGCUUUGCUUGACCAGCCUUAA